UCUUCCUCAAUGGACGUAAGUCUGACGGAGCCACGCCGCGUGAGUGAUGAAGGUUUUCGGAUCGUAAAACUCUGUUGUUAGGGAAGAANAAGUACCGUUCGAAUAGGGCGGUACCUUGACGGUACCUAACCAGAAAGCCACGGCUAACUACGUUCCAGCAGCCGCGGUAAUUCGUAGGUCGCAAGCGUUGUCCGGAAUUAUUGGGCGUGAAGCGCGCGAAGGCGGUUUCUUAAGUCUGAUGUGAAAGCCCCCGGCUCAACCGGGGAGGGUCAUUGGAAACUGGGGAACUUGAGUGCAGAAGAGGAGAGUGGAAUUCCACGUGUAGCGGUGAAAUGCGUAGAGAUGUGGAGGAACACCAGUGGCGAAGGCGACUCUCUGGUCUGUAACUGACGCUGAGGCGCGAAAGCGUGGGGAGCGAACAG
rnacentral:rRNA from 1 species